rnacentral:rRNA from 1 species
CCUACGGGAGGCAGCAGUGAGGAAUAUUGGUCAAUGGGCGUAAGCCUGAACCAGCCAAGUCGCGUGAGGGAUGAAGGUUCUAUGGAUCGUAAACCUCUUUUAUAAGGGAAUAAAUUCCGGGACGUGUCCCUUUUUGUAUUUACCUUAUGAAUAAGGAUCGGCUAACUCCGUGCCAGCAGCCGCGGUAAUACGGGGGAUCCGAGCGUUAUCCGGAUUUAUUGGGUUUAAAGGGUGCGUAGGCGGCCUUUUAAGUCAGCGGUGAAAGUCUGUGGCUCAACCAUAGAAUUGCCGUUGAAACUGGUAGGCUUGAGUAUGUUUGAGGCAGGCGGAAUGCGUGGUGUAGCGGUGAAAUGCUUAGAGAUCACGCAGAACCCCGAUUGCGAAGGCAGCCUGCCAAACCAUGACUGACGCUGAUGCACGAAAGCGUGGGGAUCAAACAGGAUUAGAUACCCUAGUAGUC